CAGUAGCCGCGGUAAAACGUAGGUGGCAAGCGUUGUCCGGAAUUAUUGGGCGUAAAGGGCUCGCAGGCGGUUUCUUAAGUCUGGUGUGAAAGCCCCCGGCUCAACCGGGGAGGGUCAUUGGAAACUGGGAAACUUGAGUGCAGAAGAGGAGAGUGGAAUUCCACGUGUAGCGGUGAAAUGCGUAGAGAUGUGGAGGAACACCAGUGGCGAAGGCGACUCUCUGGUCUGUAACUGACGCUGAGGAGCGAAAGCGUGGAGAGCGAACAGGAUUAGAUACCCCAGUAGUCCCUGUCUCUUAUAC
rnacentral:rRNA from 1 species